CUACGGGAGGCAGCAGUGAGGAAUAUUGGGCAAUGGAGGCAACUCUGACCCAGCCAUGCCGCGUGCAGGAAGACUGCCCUAUGGGUUGUAAACUGCUUUUAUACGGGAAGAAACACCGCUACGUGUAGCGGCUUGACGGUACCGUAAGAAUAAGGAUCGGCUAACUCCGUGCCAGCAGCCGCGGUAAUACGGAGGAUCCAAGCGUUAUCCGGAAUCAUUGGGUUUAAAGGGUCCGUAGGUGGAUAAUUAAGUCAGAGGUGAAAUCCUGCAGCUCAACUGUAGAAUUGCCUUUGAUACUGGUUGUCUUGAGUCAUUGUGAAGUAGUUAGAAUAUGUAGUGUAGCGGUGAAAUGCAUAGAUAUUACAUAGAAUACCGAUUGCGAAGGCAGAUUACUAACAAUGUACUGACACUGAUGGACGAAAGCGUGGGGAGCGAACAGGAUUAGAUACCCUGGUAGUCCACGCCGUAAACGAUGGUCACUAGCUGUUCGGACUUUGGUCUGAGUGGCUAAGCGAAAGUGAUAAGUGACCCACCUGGGGAGUACGUUCGCAAGAAUGAAACUCAAAGGAAUUGACGG
rnacentral:rRNA from 1 species